AACGCGAAGAACCUUACCUGGGCUUGACAUGUUCCCGACAGCCGUAGAGAUGCGGCCUCCCUUCGGGGCGGGUUCACAGGUGGUGCAUGGUCGUCGUCAGCUCGUGUCGUGAGAUGUUGGGUUAAGUCCCGCAACGAGCGCAACCCUCGCCCUGUGUUGCCAGCACGUCAUGGUGGGAACUCACGGGGGACCGCCGGGGUCAACUCGGAGGAAGGUGGGGAUGACGUCAGAUCAUCAUGCCCCUUACGUCCAGGGCUUCACGCAUGCUACAAUGGCCGGUACAACGGGAUGCGACACCGCGACGUGGAGCGGAUCCCUGAAAACCGGUCUCAGUUCGGAUUGGAGUCUGCAACCCGACUC
rnacentral:rRNA from 1 species